rnacentral:snoRNA from 14 species
GCUGCUCUGACAUGGUGCUUCAGUAGUGGCCGAGAGGAGACUAUGUCUAUGCUCCAGGCUCUGACCUAUGAACAUCUGAACGGUUAGUAGCCUAACACU